UUCAAAAUCGCGUUUAGAGCGUGAUUUGGGCUUAUUGCGAAGAAACAAACCCUAAAGAAGUCUUUACAAAAUCUUUGAUUUUCGGCGUUUUGGCUUGCCGUGUUGCCAGAGUGUAAUUCGCCAAAUAGGAAUAAAUCCGAUAUUGUCUUAAGCAAAAGCCUAUCACGCAUUUUGAGGCACAGGGCCAGAGAGGAGCACCUUUGCAUCAGCCAGGAGGGUUACGUUGCGGUCGACGAGCUGUUGAAGAAUAGAUAUUUUCACAACUGCACCGUUGAGGAUAUAAAACGAGUGGUGGAUAGCAGUGACAAACAACGAUUUAGUCUCAGAGUUUUUAAUGGUGCCCUAGAAAUCUGUGCCAACCAAGGGCAUUCUAUUCAAGGCCUUGAUAAGCUGAGCCUUGUGCCCAUAAGGGAACCUGGACAAUUCGAGGUGAUUCAUGGAACCUACUUUGGAAAGUGGGCGAAAAUAAAGCGCGAGGGGCUCAGUCGCAUGUCUAGAAACCACAUACACUUUGCCAAAGGUUUACCGUGCGAUAAAAGUGUUAUUAGUGGCAUUAGAAGCAAUUGUCAGGUGUUUAUUUACGUCAAUCUGAAAGCGGCCCUUGAAGCAGGAAUUCCGUUUUUCCUGUCAUCAAAUGGGGUAGUUCUCAGCCCAGGCAAUGAACAAGGUUUGAUUGUUCCCCAUUACUUUAGCAGAGUUUGCGAUCUAUAUGGACAUUUGCUGUGGAACAAUUAACCAUGGGAAACGAUAGUGAAAAUGCCAGUACCGUGUACCAUUGCGCCAACUGCAAUAUGAAUUUUCCCAAUAAGAAAGCUUAUGAUAUUCACAACAAUCAGCCAGCACACCAAAUGGUUGCAAAAGCCACCACUAUCAGCGGAAAAAAAAAUUUUCAAAGGCCAGGAAUUUACGUGCGGGGUACGCUUUUUU
rnacentral:misc_RNA from 1 species